rnacentral:rRNA from 1 species
GACGAACGCUGGCGGCGUGCCUAAUACAUGCAAGUUGAGCGCUGAAGGUUGGUACUUGUACCAACUGGAUGAGCAGCGAACGGGUGAGUAACGCGUGGGGAAUCUGCCUUUGAGCGGGGGACAACAUUUGGAAACGAAUGCUAAUACCGCAUAAAAACUUUAAACGCAAGUUUUAAGUUUGAAAGAUGCAAUUGCAUCACUCAAAGAUGAUCCCGCGUUGUAUUAGCUAGUUGGUGAGGUAAAGGCUCACCAAGGCGAUGAUACAUAGCCGACCUGAGAGGGCGAUCGGCCACACUGGGACUGUGACACCGCCCAAACUCCUACGGGAGGCAGCAGUAGGGGAACUUCGGCAAUGGACGAAAGUCUGACCGAGCUACGCCGCGGGAGUGAAGAAGGUUUUCGGAUCGUAAAACUCGGUUGGUAGAGAAGAACGUUGGUGAGAGUGGAAAGCUCAUCAAGUGACGGUAACUACUCAGAAAGGGACGGCUAACUACGUG